rnacentral:rRNA from 1 species
AAGUCGAGGGGCAGCACGGUGUAGCAAUACACUGGUGGCGACCGGCGCACGGGUGCGUAACGCGUAUGCAACCUACCUUUAACAGGGGGAUAAUCCGAAGAAAUUUGGUCUAAUACCCCAUAAUAUCAUAGAAGGCAUCUUUUAUGGUUGAAAAUUCCGAUGGUUAGAGAUGGGCAUGCGUUGUAUUAGCUAGUUGGUGGGGUAACGGCUCACCAAGGCGACGAUACAUAGGGGGACUGAGAGGUUGACCGGCCACAUUGGGACUGAGAUACGGCCCAGACUCC